ACGCAUACCUAUCCUACUGUUACUGAUCACCUAGUAAUAAUCACAUUACUCAUUUUUCACCAAAUCCUUUUGGUGAAGGACGCUUCAGAAACGGCCAUCACUGAAGAGCAGACCCGUUUGGGUUCUCCACGCAUUCUAGACUCCCGAAGAGAUAUGUGCUGAUUAGAAGGCUCACUUGUGCAGUGUGGAGGAUAACCAGUGCCUUACAAAAUGGGGUUUGGGAGUGACCUGAAGAAUUCACAUGAAGCAGUGUUAAAAUUGCAAGACUGGGAAUUACGGUUACUGGAAACAGUAAAGAAAUUUAUGGCCCUGAGAAUAAAAAGUGAUAAAGAAUAUGCAUCUACUUUACAGAACCUUUGUAAUCAAGUUGAUAAGGAAAGUACUGUCCAAAUGAAUUAUGUCAGCAACGUAUCCAAGUCUUGGCUACUUAUGAUUCAGCAGACAGAACAACUUAGUAGGAUAAUGAAGACACAUGCAGAGGACUUGAACUCUGGACCUUUACACAGGCUCACCAUGAUGAUUAAGGACAAGCAGCAGGUGAAGAAAAGUUACAUAGGUGUUCAUCAGCAGAU
rnacentral:sRNA from 1 species